UACAGAGGUCCCAAGCGUUGUUCGGAUUCACUGGGCGUAAAGGGUGCGUAGGUGGCCAGGUAAGUUUGGUGUGAAAGCUCGGAGCUUAACUCCGAAAAGUCAUUGAAUACUAUCUGGCUGGAGGGUCGGAGGGGAGACUGGAAUUCUCGGUGUAGCAGUGAAAUGCGUAGAGAUGCGGAGGAACACCGAUGGCGAAGGCAGCCCCCUGGGCUAGCACUGACGCUCAGGCACGAAAGCGUGGGGAGCAAACAGG
rnacentral:rRNA from 1 species